rnacentral:rRNA from 1 species
CCCUGGCUCAGGACGAACGCUGGCGGCGUGCCUAAUACAUGCAAGUCGAGCGGAGUGAAUUGAAAGCUUGCUUUCAAUUCACUUAGCGGCGGACGGGUGAGUAACACGUAGGCAACCUGCCCCUUAGCCUGGGAUAACUACCGGAAACGGUAGCUAAUACCGGAUAAUUCCUUUUGGCUCCUGCCGAGAGGAUGAAAGACGGAGCAAUCUGUCGCUGAGGGAUGGGCCUGCGGCGCAUUAGCUAGUUGGUGGGGUAACGGCCCACCAAGGCGACGAUGCGUAGCCGACCUGAGAGGGUGAACGGCCACACUGGGACUGAGACACGGCCCAGACUCCUACGGGAGGCAGCAGUAGGGAAUCUUCCGCAAUGGGCGAAAGCCUGACGGAGCAACGCCGCGUGAGUGAUGAAGGUUUUCGGAUCGUAAAGCUCUGUUGCCAGGGAAGAACGUCCGGUAGAGUAACUGCUACCGGAGUGACGGUACCUGAGAAGAAAGCCCCGGCUAACUA